UACGGAAGGGGCAAGCGUUGUUCGGAAUCACUGGGCUUAAAGGGCGCGUAGGCGGGCAAGCAAGUCCGGGGUGAAAUCUUUCGGCUCAACCGGAAAAGUGCCUUGGAUACUGCUUGUCUGGAGGGAGGUAGGGGCAUGUGGAACUUCUGGUGGAGCGGUGAAAUGCGUUGAUAUCAGAAGGAACGCCGGUGGCGAAAGCGACGUGCUGGACCUCUUCUGACGCUGAGGCGCGAAAGCUAGGGGAGCAAACGGG
rnacentral:rRNA from 1 species